AACGUACUCCCUCCGUCCCAAAGUACUUGUCGCGGAAAUAGACAUAUCUACACGUAUUUUAAUUCUAGAUACAUUCAUUUCUAACCAUUUGUAUGACAAGUAAUUCCGGACCGAGGGAGUAUUAG
rfam:Triticum aestivum genome assembly, contig: Triticum_aestivum_CS42_TGACv1_scaffold_222729_3B